ensembl:lncRNA
CAAAUGGACUUGAUCUUCUGAUUGAUUCAUGACUGAUUGAUUGACUUCGAUGUGUUUUCUCAGAGCUGCCCACUGCAGAGGAGCUGAUGCGUCCCAUCCGACCAGACAGCAUGGACGACACCAGAGGCUCCACUCUGCAGCCUGCUAGUGGGACCCAGCUCAGCCCAGAGAAGACUGGCCAGUCCUUAAGCCAUAGAUCCCGUGAGUCAAGCCCAAGAUGCUCAGCAGAGCCAGACACUCCUCCGGCCUCCCCAGGCCCCCGUCCCAGAAGCAUCAGAGAGGAGGCAUAGAAGCUGAUGAAGCAGGAUCAGGACAGCUCCUCCCCUGACCUGAUCUCCGCUCAACCCAGCAACAAGAGAAGCCAGCAGGUUCCUGGACGCUCUACGGUAGCUGGUCCCUUCACAUCCUCGUUGAGGAAGCCUUAUGUUGCCCCUGGCAGAGGUAGAGUGGAGAGUAAACCGUCAGCCGUGGCCACCAGGACCUCGGAAGCUAGGAAAUCUGGUCCUACCAAACCUGGGGCUGCAGCCAAGCCCCCCUCUCCUCUAACCCGGAGGAAGCCUCUCAGCCAGACAACAUAACAGAGCCUCAGCCCCCUCCUCUCAGAGAGAGAUACAGUUAGGAGAAGAAGAACUCCUUACACAUUGACAACCAAAGCUAGUAGGUGUAGUGUAAGUGUGCUUAAAAAAAUAUCUGUUGUAUCUAGAGGUCGAC